rnacentral:pre_miRNA from 1 species
AAUAAACCAAUCUUUUACUUUUUACCUAUAAUGUUUGACUCUUUAUCUUAUUUAAUUUUUAUAAUUAACAACUUUGUUUUUAUUAGAUGAUAAAUCAUGAAUAAUGUUUUACGUGUGUCUAAUUUUUUAAUUUCUUAAAAAAAAUUCAAAUAAGACGGAUGAUUAAAUGCUACACACGGAAACCUAAGUUUGCCUUUUUU